rnacentral:rRNA from 1 species
AUACGUAGGGGGCAAGCGUUGUCCGGAAUGAUUGGGCGUAAAGGGCGCGUAGGCGGCCUGUUAAGUCUGGAGUGAAAGUCCUGCUUUCAAGGUGAGAAUUGCUUUGGAAACUGGCGGGCUGGAGUGCAGGAGAGGUAAGUGGAAUUCCUAGUGUAGCGGUGAAAUGCGUAGAUAUUAGGAGGAACACCAGUGGCGAAGGCGGCUUACUGGACUGUAACUGACGUUGAGGCUCGAAAGCGUGGGGAGC